rnacentral:snoRNA from 1 species
ACCCUAGAGGCAUUACAGGUAUGGUUACUGGGUUACUGUGUCACAUGUUUGUCAAUAGGUGCCAUAGAGGAGACUAUGCACAGUGUUCUGACUUAUGAACAUCUGAUGGCUAAUAGCCUACCAUU